rnacentral:tRNA from 1 species
GCCGGGAUGGCGAAAUUGGCAGACGCACGGGACUCAAAAUCCCGCGGUAGCGAUACCGUGCCGGUUCAAGUCCGGCUCCCGGCACCA